GUAGGAGCUGCCGCAGGCUGCGAUCUUUUGAUUCUGGUUUUUAAAGCCAAGAUCAAAAGAUCGCAGCCUGCGGCAGCUCCUAC
rnacentral:antisense_RNA from 1 species